ACUUGGCAAGGAUGACACACUUGCCCUCACUUAGACUGUAGGUCAUUGAUGAGAGCAUCUAAUUGUUCUGAGCCAGU
rnacentral:snoRNA from 1 species